rnacentral:lncRNA from 1 species
GAGUCUUCCAUCCUUACCAGGAGUGCACAUCCUCCCCUCAGAGAAGUGAUGAUUUGGGGAGCAAGAGGGAGUCAGGGAGAGCCAGCCAGCGGGUCCUGGGAUGGAUACAGCAGCAGCAGCAGCAGCAGCAGCGAAGGCGGCAGAGGCGGCGGCGGCUACCCCAGCAGCAGCAACAGUAGCAGCAGCCAUAGUCUCAGCAUCCGAUAGGAUGGAGCUGUCUGCUCUUCCCUGCCAGCGGUAGCCGAGUUACUCAGAGGUAAAUGGUCUUUAUACUUGAAAAGACCAAAAAUGGCCCAAGAUGAGAGAAGAAAUCAUGGAAUGUGAGAGUUGGAAGGGCCUCAGAAGCCAUCUUGUCCAACCUUCAGAUGAAAGGAAUCCCUAUUAUGGCAUCCUAACAAAUGGCCAUCCAGCAUCUGUUUGAAGAUCUCCAAGGAACUGGAACUUGCCACCUCCUGUUUUUUCAACAUUUCCUUCAUUGCAACUUCAACUUCCUGGUUCCAGAACUUCCUGGUUCUGCCCUCUGAGGCUACACUGAGCAAGUCUAGCUCUUCUUCUAUAUGACAGCCCUUAAAAUACUUGGAAAAAGCUAAGAAGUUAAUCCUGAGUCUUCUCUUCUCCAGUCUAAACUACCUCAGUUCCUUCAUUCAAUCUUCACAUGACCUGGACUUAAGACCUUUCACCAUUAUGGUUGCUUUCCUCUGGAUAUGCUUCAUUUAAGCAAUAUCUUUCUUGAACUAUGAUACUCAGUACUAAAUGCUAUUCCAAAUAAAGCCAGACAAGAUUAGACA